rnacentral:rRNA from 1 species
GAUGAACGCUGGCGGCGUGCCUAAUACAUGCAAGUCGAGCGAACGGACGAGAAGCUUGCUUCUCUGAUGUUAGCGGCGGACGGGUGAGUAACACGUGGAUAACCUACCUAUAAGACUGGGAUAACUUCGGGAAACCGGAGCUAAUACCGGAUAAUAUUUUGAACCGCAUGGUUCAAAAGUGAAAGACGGUCUUGCUGUCACUUAUAGAUGGAUCCGCGCUGCAUUAGCUAGUUGGUAAGGUAACGGCUUACCAAGGCAACGAUGCAUAGCCGACCUGAGAGGGUGAUCGGCCACACUGGAACUGAGACACGGUCCAGACUCCUACGGGAGGCAGCAGUAGGGAAUCUUCCGCAAUGGGCGAAAGCCUGACGGAGCAACGCCGCGUGAGUGAUGAAGGUCUUCGGAUCGUAAAACUCUGUUAUUAGGGAAGAACAUAUGUGUAAGUAACUGUGCACAUCUUGACGGUACCUAAUCAGAAAGCCACGGCUAACUACGUGCCAGCAGCCGCGGUAAUACGUAGGUGGCAAGCGUUAUCCGGAAUUAUUGGGCGUAAAGCGCGCGUAGGCGGUUUUUUAAGUCUGAUGUGAAAGCCCACGGCUCAACCGUGGAGGGUCAUUGGAAACUGGAAAACUUGAGUGCAGAAGAGGAAAGUGGAGUUCCAUGUGUAGCGGUGAAAUGCGCAGAGAUAUGGAGGAACACCAGUGGCGAAGGCGACUUUCUGGUCUGUAACUGACGCUGAUGUGCGAAAGCGUGGGGAUCAAACAGGAUUAGAUACCCUGGUAGUCCACGCCGUAAACGAUGAGUGCUAAGUGUUAGGGGGUUUCCGCCCCUUAGUGCUGCAGCUAACGCAUUAAGCACUCCGCCUGGGGAGUACGACCGCAAGGUUGAAGCUCAAAGGAAUUGACGGGGACCCGCACAAGCGGUGGAGCAUGUGGUUUAAUUCGAAGCAACGCGAAGAACCUUACCAAAUCUUGACAUCCUUUGACAACUCUAGAGAUAGAGCCUUCCCCUUCGGGGGACAAAGUGACAGGUGGUGCAUGGUUGUCGUCAGCUCGUGUCGUGAGAUGUUGGGUUAAGUCCCGCAACGAGCGCAACCCUUAAGCUUAGUUGCCAUCAUUAAGUUGGGCACUCUAAGUUGACUGCCGGUGACAAACCGGAGGAAGGUGGGGAUGACGUCAAAUCAUCAUGCCCCUUAUGAUUUGGGCUACACACGUGCUACAAUGGACAAUACAAAGGGCAGCGAAACCGCGAGGUCAAGCAAAUCCCAUAAAGUUGUUCUCAGUUCGGAUUGUAGUCUGCAACUCGACUACAUGAAGCUGGAAUCGCUAGUAAUCGUAGAUCAGCAUGCUACGGUGAAUACGUUCCCGGGUCU